UCCUACGUGAGGCAGCAGUGGGGAAUUUUGGACAAUGGGGGCAAGCAUGAUCCAGCCAUGCCGCGUGAGUGAAGAAGGCCUUCGGGUUUUAAAGCUCUUUAGGCCGGGAAGAAAUGACAUGGGCUAAUACCGUGUGCGGAUGACGUACCCGCAAAGAGAACCGUUUCG
rnacentral:rRNA from 1 species